GACGAACGCUGGCGGCGUGCUUAACACAUGCAAGUCGAACGGAAAGGCCCUGCUUUUGUGGGGUGCUCGAGUGGCGAACGGGUGAGUAACACGUGAGUAACCUGCCCUUGACUUUGGGAUAACUUCAGGAAACUGGUGCUAAUACCGGAUAGGAGCUCCUGCUGCAUGGUGGGGGUCGGAAAGUUUCGGGGGUUGGGGAUGGACUCGCGGCUUAUCAGCUUGUUGGUGGGGUAGUGGCUUACCAAGGCUUUGACGGGUAGGCGGCCUGGGAGGGUGACCGGCCACAAUGGGACUAAGGUACGGACCAGACUCCUACGGGAGGCAGCAGUGGGGAAUAUUGCACAAUGGGCGGAAGCCUGAUGCAGCAACGCCGCGUGCGGGAUGACGGCCUUCGGGUUGUAAACCGCUUUCGCCUGUGACGAAGCGUGAGUGACGGUAAUGGGUAAAGAAGCACCGGCUAACUACGUG
rnacentral:rRNA from 1 species